rnacentral:tRNA from 1 species
AUCAAGUUAGUUUAAUCAAAACUUUGGGAUGUGGGCUCAAAAAUGAAAAAUAUUUUCACUUGAUA